CAGCAGUUGGCAUGCGUGGCAAUACCCGCUACACUGCAUCCAGAUCAAGCGCAUGGCAACGGAAGAGGGGUGAGAAUCCCCCGCGAUCGCGUCACUGUGAUCGGAUAUGCGCCCGCACAAGGCCACUGGGAAACCGGGAAGGCGCGGGCGAUGACAUCCGUCAGCCAGGAUAUGUUGCCAUGCGGUUAGCCAUUU
rfam:Spirochaeta africana DSM 8902, complete genome.